rnacentral:tRNA from 1 species
UCCCAGGUGGCUCAGAUGGUAAAGAAUCUGCCUGCAAUGCAGGAGAUCCAGGUUCAAUUCCUGGGUUGAGAA